CAAAAUGUAGCUUAAUAAAAGCCCCUCGCUUACACCGAAGAGAUACCCGUUUAAUUCGGAUCAUUUUGA
rnacentral:tRNA from 1 species